rnacentral:rRNA from 1 species
CCUACGGGGGGCAGCAGUGGGGAAUAUUGCACAAUGGGGGAAACCCUGAUGCAGCAACGCCGCGUGAGUGAAGAAGUAUUUCGGUAUGUAAAGCUCUAUCAGUAGGGAAGAAGAAAGACGGUACCUGACUAAGAAGCCCCGGCUAACUACGUGCCAGCAGCCGCGGUAAUACGUAGGGGGCAAGCGUUAUCCGGAUUUACUGGGUGUAAAGGGAGCGUAGACGGCUGUGCAAGUCUGAAGUGAAAGCCCGUGGCUCAACCGUGGAACUGCUUUGGAAACUGUAUAGCUUGAGUGCUGGAGAGGCAGGCGGAAUUCCUAGUGUAGCGGUGAAAUGCGUAGAUAUAAGGAGGAACACCAGUGGCGAAGGCGGUUGCCUGGCCUGUAACUGACGCUGAGGCACGAAAGCGUGGGGAGCAAAUAGGAUUAGAUACCCGUGUAGUC